GCCCUUACCCAAUAGGGUAGACACCAAGCUCAGUAACAUGUUCUUCCUGAGGUAAGGCUCCUCAUUUGUAUUCCAGGUGUGCUGGCUCUUGUGAUUUCCCUGAAUAUGGAGAAGUUGACUGCAUACUUUGCAGUGGAGGACUGUAUUUACACCUUUA
rnacentral:snRNA from 1 species